AGUGAACGCUGGCGGUAGGCCUAACACAUACAAGUCGAACGGCAGCACAGGAGAGCUUGCUCUCUGGGUGGCGAGUGGCGGACGGGUGAGGAAUACAUCGGAAUCUACUCUGUCGUGGGGGAUAACGUAGGGAAACUUACGCUAAUACCGCAUACGACCUACGGGUGAAAGCAGGGGACCUUCGGGCCUUGCGCGAUUGAAUGAGCCGAUGUCGGAUUAGCUAGUUGGCGGGGUAAAGGCCCACCAAGGCGACGAUCCGUAGCGGGUCUGAGAGGAUGGUCAGCCACACUGGAACUGAGACACGGUCCAGACUCCUACGGGAGGCAGCAGUGGGGAAUAUUGGACAAUGGGCGCAAGCCUGAUCCAGCCAUACCGCGUGGGUGAAGAAGGCCUUCGGGUUGUAAAGCCCUUUUGUUGGGAAAGAAAUCCAGCUGGCUAAUACCCGGUUGGGAUGACGGUACCCAAAGAAUAAGCACCGGCUAACUUCGUGCCAGCCGCCGCCGUAA
rnacentral:rRNA from 1 species